rnacentral:rRNA from 1 species
CUUGGUCAUUUAGAGGAAGUAAAAGUCGUAACAAGGUUUCCGUAGGUGAACCUGCGGAAGGAUCAUUACAGAGUUCAUGCCCUCACGGGUAGAUCUCCCACCCUUGAAUACUAUACCUUAGUUGCUUUGGCAGGCCGUGGAAACGCCAUGGGCUUCGGCUUGUGUGUGCCUGCCAGAGGAAACAAACUCUGUUUUUAGUGAUGUCUGAGUACUAUAUAAUAGUUAAAACUUUCAACAACGGAUCUCUUGGUUCUGGCAUCGAUGAAGAACGCAGCGAAAUGCGAUAAGUAAUGUGAAUUGCAGAAUUCAGUGAAUCAUCGAAUCUUUGAACGCACAUUGCGCCCCGUGGUAUUCCGCGGGGCAUGCCUGUUCGAGCGUCAUUUCAACCCCUCAAGCCUCGGCUUGGUCUUGGAGCGUGCGAGUUCUCUCGCAGCCCCUAAACUCAGUGGCGGUGCUAUUGAGCUCUGAGCGUAGUAAAUCUCCUCGCUAUAGAGUCUCGGUGGUUACUUGCCAACAACCCCCAAUUUUUAUCAGGUUGACCUCGGAUCAGGUAGGGAUACCCGCUGAACUUAAGCAUAUCAAUAAGCGGAGGAAAAGAAACCAACAGGGAUUACCUCAGUAACGGCGAGUGAAGCGGUAACAGCUCAAAUUUGAAAUCUGCCGCAAGGCCGAGUUGUAAUUUGUAGAAGAUGCUUUGGGUAUGGCCCCGGUCUAAGUUCGUUGGAACACGACGUCAUAGAGGGUGAGAAUCCCGUAUGUGACUGGGUGCUUUUGCCUGUGUAAAGCUCUUUCGACGAGUCGAGUUGUUUGGGAAUGCAGCUCAAAAUGGGUGGUAUAUUUCAUCUAAAGCUAAAUAUUGGCCAGAGACCGAUAGCGCACAAGUAGAGUGAUCGAAAGAUGAAAAGCACUUUGGAAAGAGAGUUAAACAGUACGUGAAAUUGUUGAAAGGGAAGCGCUUGCAACCAGACUUGCACGCUGUUGAUCAUCCAGGCUUCUGUGUGGUGCACUCAACUGCGUUCAGGCCAGCAUCGGUUUUGGUGGUGGGAUAAAGGCCUUGGGAAUGUAGCUUCUUUCGGGGAGUGUUAUAGCCCUCGGUGCAAUGCCGCCUACCGGGACCGAGGACCGCGCUUCGGCUAGGAUGCUGGCGUAAUGGUUGUAAGCGACCCGUCUUGAAACACGGACC